AGACCGAUAGCGAACAAGUAGAGUGAUCGAAAGAUAAAAGCACUUUGAAAAGAGGGUUAAACAGCACGGAAAUUGUUAAAAGGGAAGCGCUUGUGACCAGACUUGCGUCCGGUGAAUCACCCAGCUCUCGCGGCUGGGGCACUUCGCCGGCACAGGCCAGCAUCAGCUUGCCGUCGGGGACAAAAGCUUCAGGAACGUGGCUCCUCUCGGGGAGUGUUAUAGCCUGUUGCAUAAUACCCUUCGGCGGGCUGAGGUACGCGCUCCGCAAGGAUGCUGGCGUAAUGGUCAUCAGCGACCCGUCUUGAAACACGGACCAAG
rnacentral:rRNA from 1 species